ACUGAUUUCAAAUAAUUUCUUGAGAUUUUCAAGAUCAUUUUGAAUCCUAAUCUUUUCUGCACAGUGAUUGUACCUCUUCAAGCUUACAGUUGUCUACAGAUUCAUCCACUGUAUGCUUCCUGCUUUAUAUGGCUGAUGAUGGUGUAAAGUAAUUGCAUUCAGGACAGCUGUUUGCGGGGCCACAGGAUGCAUGCUUCCUGUUUAAUGGUGAACUACUGUUCAAUUUCUCCAAGUUCAAUUUUUCACCUCGGAUCAACCUUAUUAGUAAUCUCUUCAAAGUUGGACCACUGCUUUACAGACCCCUGUGAGAUUUACAAAGGAUCCAGCACUACAAGAUCCCAAACACUUGCCUCUGCACCUUGGUCUGCUGAAAGAAACCUUACGACUGCAGAGCAUGUAAUCUGGAAGAGGCUGGUGGGCACGUAUUUUGUAUGUAUAAAGCAAGCUGCAGUGAAUAGGAAGUGGGGAUUUCAGGUCAGAAGAAAUACGUGACUUGAGAGAGGUAGUUUUUUGGGGGAGUGCCUUUCCAGGUUCCUCAGUGCUGCGAGAUCAGCAUGUCAAUGAAAAAUAGCGGUCCUUGCUCAUUGCACUUGUCCAUGUGUCUUGCAAGCUGAUGAGAGGGGAAUGCUGCACUGCAGCUUCUGGGAAACUACUUGAAGGGUAAUAGCCAUGUUAGAAUAAAAGCAGUAGCAGUUUUCA
rnacentral:lncRNA from 1 species